rnacentral:SRP_RNA from 1 species
UGGAAGGUCGGUUGGGCGCACCCUUCGCCAACCCGGUCAGGUCCGGAAGGAAGCAGCCGUAACGGAGUUCUUGCGGGUCAUCCGAUCUUCUACCG